GUAACAAGGUUUCCGUAGGUGAACCUGCGGAAGGAUCAUUAUUGAAUAAAAUAAGUCAGGUUGUUGCUGACUCUUAGGAGUAAGUGCACGCCUGGCGCCAUUUUAUUACCACCUGUGCACUAUUUGUAGACCUUGAACAUUUCUCGGAGUGAUUAACUUCGGAUUGAAGGAAAAAUGUCCUUUGGGGCUGUUCCCUUGAGUUCUAGGUCUAUGUUUAUUAUCAUACUCAUUGAAUGUAAUUGAAUGUUUAUUAUGGCCUUUGUGCCUUUAAAUAUAAUACAACUUUCAACAACGGAUCUCUUGGCUCUCGCAUCGAUGAAGAACGCAGCGAAAUGCGAUAAGUAAUGUGAAUUGCAGAAUUCAGUGAAUCAUCGAAUCUUUGAACGCACCUUGCGCUCUUUGGUAUUCCGAAGAGCAUGCCUGUUUGAGUGUCAGUAAAUUUAUCAACCUUAUUAAUGAUUUUUAUUAGUAAGGCUUGGACUCUGGGGGGGUGUUUGCGGGCUUGUUAUUAAGUCGGCUCCCCUUAAAUGUAUUAGUGAGGCCUAUGUUGACCAUCACUGGUGUGAUAAUUAUCUACGCCAUUGAUUAAUAUAAGGGCUUGCUUCUAACCGUCUUAUUAUAAGACAACUUGACAAAUUUGACCUCAAAUCAGGUAGGACUACCCGCUGAACUUAAGCAUAUCAAUAAGCGGAGGAAAAGAAACUAACAAGGAUUCCCUUAGUAACUGCGAGUGAAGUGGGAAGAGCUCAAAUUUAAAAUCUGGUAGUCUUUGGCUGCCCGAGUUGUAAUCUAGAGAAGCAUUAUCCGCGCUGGACCGUGUACA
rnacentral:rRNA from 1 species